rnacentral:rRNA from 1 species
UACAGAGGUCCCGAGCGUUGUUCGGAUUCAUUGGGCGUAAAGGGUGCGUAGGCGGCGGGGUAAGUUUGAUGUGAAAUCCCGGGGCUCAACCCUGGAAUGGCAUUGAAUACUACCUUGCUAGAGUACCGGAGAGGAAGCUGGAAUUUACGGUGUAGCAGUGAAAUGCGUAGAGAUCGUAAGGAAGACCAGUGGCGAAGGCGAGUUUCUGGACGGUAACUGACGCUGAGGCACGAAGGCCAGGGGAG